rnacentral:rRNA from 1 species
UACAGAGGUCCCAAGCGUUGUUCGGAUUCACUGGGCGUAAAGGGUGCGUAGGUGGUUGGGUAAGUUUGAUGUGAAAUCUCCGGGCUUAACCCGGAAACUGCAUUGAAUACUAUCUGGCUAGAGGGUUGGAGGGGGGACUGGAAUACUUGGUGUAGCAGUGAAAUGCGUAGAUAUCAAGUGGAACACCAGUGGCGAAGGCGAGUCCCUGGACAACUCCUGACACUGAGGCACGAAAGCUAGGGGAGCAAACAGG